rnacentral:rRNA from 1 species
UACGUAGGGUGCAAGCGUUGUCCGGAAUUAUUGGGCGUAAAGAGCUCGUAGGCGGUCUGUCGCGUCUGCUGUGAAAACCUAGGGCUUAACUCUGGGCGUGCAGUGGGUACGGGCAGACUAGAGUGCGGUAGGGGGAGACUGGAAUUCCUGGUGUAGCGGUGAAAUGCGCAGAUAUCAGGAGGAACGACCCGGUGGCGAAGGCGGGUCUCUGGGCCGUAACUGACGCUGAGGAGCGAAAGCAUGGGGAGC